rnacentral:rRNA from 1 species
UUGGGCGUAAAGCGUCUGUAGGUGGCUUUUCAAGUCCGCCGUCAAAUCCCAGGGCUCAACCCUGGACAGGCGGUGGAAACUACCAAGCUGGAGUAUGGUAGGGGCAGAGGGAAUUUCCGGUGGAGCGGUGAAAUGCAUUGAGAUCGGAAAGAACACCAACGGCGAAAGCACUCUGCUGGGCCGACACUGACACUGAGAGACGAAAGCUAGGGGAGCAAAUGGGAUUAGAGACCCCAGUAGUCCUAGCCGUAAACGAUGGAUACUAGGUGCUAUGCGACUCGACCCGUGCAGUGCUGUAGCUAACGCGUUAAGUAUCCCGCC